AUUGAACGCUGGCAGCAGGCUUAACACAUGCAAGUCGAACGCUGUAGCAAUACAGAGUGGCAGACGGGUGAGUAACGCGUGGGAACGUGCCUUUCGGUUCGGAAUAACUCAGGGAAACUUGAGCUAAUACCGGAUACGCCCUUCGGGGGAAAGAUUUAUUGCCGAAAGAUCGGCCCGCGUCCGAUUAGCUAGCUGGUGAGGUAAUGGCUCACCAAGGCGACGAUCGGUAGCUGGUCUGAGAGGAUGAUCAGCCACACGGGGACUGAGACACGGCCCAGACUCCUACGGGAGGCAGCAGUGGGGAAUAUUGGACAAUGGGCGCAAGCCUGAUCCAGCCAUGCCGCGUGAGUGAUGAAGGCCCUAGGGUUGUAAAGCUCUUUCGCCAGGGACGAUAAUGACGGUACCUGGAUAAGAAGCCCCGGCUAACUUCGUGCCAGCCGCCGCCGUAA
rnacentral:rRNA from 1 species